rnacentral:rRNA from 1 species
UACGGAGGGUGCAAGCGUUAUCCGGAUUCACUGGGUUUAAAGGGUGCGUAGGCGGGCAGGUAAGUCCGUGGUGAAAUCUCUGAGCUUAACUCAGAAACUGCCAUGGAUACUAUUUGUCUUGAAUGUUGAGGAGGUAAGCGGAAUAUGUCAUGUAGCGGUGAAAUGCUUAGAUAUGACAUAGAACACCCAUUGCGAAGGCAGCUUACUACACAAAUAUUGACGCUGAGGCACGAAAGCGUGGGGAUCAAACAGG